UAGCGUAUAUUAAAGUUGUUGCGGUUAAAAAGCUCGUAGUUGGAUUUCUGUUGAGAGCAAUCGGUCCGCUCUCUGGGCGUGCAUCUGAUUUGAUCUCGGCAUCCUCUCAAAAUACGUUUCUGCGCUUAAUUGCGUGGAGCGGAGUUUGAGACUUUUACUUUGAGGAAAUUAGAGUGUUCACGGCAGGCAUACGCCUUGAAUAUAUUAGCAUGGAAUAAUAAUAUAGGAUUUUGGUUCUAUUUUGUUGGUUUCUAGAGCUAAAAUAAUGAUUAAUAGGGACAAUUGGGGGCAUUCGUAUUAACACGUC
rnacentral:rRNA from 1 species